GAUGAAGAACGCAGCGAAACGCGAUAAGUAAUGUGAAUUGCAGAAUCCAGUGAAUCAUCGAAUCUUUGAACGCACAUUGCGCCCGCCAGCAUUCUGGCGGGCAUGCCUGUUCGAGCGUCAUUUCAACCCUCGACCUCCCCUUGGGGAGGUCGGCGUUGGGGACCGGCAGCACACCGCCGGCCCUGAAAUGGAGUGGCGGCCCGUCCGCGGCGACCUCUGCGCAGUAAUACAGCUCGCACCGGGACCCCGUCGCGGCCACGCCGUAAAACACCCAACUUCUGAACGUUGACCUCGAAUCAGGUAGGACUACCCGCUGAACUUAAGCAUAUCAAUAAGCGGAGGA
rnacentral:misc_RNA from 1 species